rnacentral:rRNA from 1 species
AUUACCGCGGCUGCUGGGGGGGCAACCCUGGCGGCGAGCGGCGAACGGGUGAGUAAUACAUCGGAACGUGUCCAGUAGCGGGGGAUAACCUGUCGAAAGAUAGGCUAAUACCGCAUACGACCUACGGGUGAAAGCGGGGGACUCUCGGGCAACUGAGGGCCUCGCACUAUUGGAGCGGCCGAUGUCGGAUUAGCUAGUUGGCGGGGUAACGGCCCACCAAGGCGACGAUCCGUAGCUGGUCUGAGAGGACGACCAGCCACACUGGAACUGAGACACGGUCCAGACUCCUACGGGAGGCAGCAGUGGGGAAUUUUGGACAAUGGGCGCAAGCCUGAUCCAGCCAUGCCGCGUGAGUGAAGAAGGCCUUCGGGUUGUAAAGCUCUUUCGGCGGGGACGAAACGGUCCGUGACAACACCACGGACUAAUGACGGUACUCGCAGAAGAAGCACCGGCUAACUACGUGCCAGCAGCCGCGG